GCUCAUUUCCACUCUAAGACCAUUCAAUCCAUCGUGAAAUUGAGAGCACUUAGCAAUGUUGGUGGUGCUUGUUCCCUUGCUAAGGCAAACAACUCCAAACUGCCAUUGAUGCUUAACUAGUACUUUGGGAAUUGUUAUUAGCCACUCUCGGAUAAACAAACCAUAUAUGUUUUAUUUUCAAGUCCUUCAACAUCAGACACAUGUUGUAUUUGUAAUUGAAAAACUAUCUUUAGAUAACACAACCUGAAAGUAAGUCAGUUCUCACUCUCACCUACCAGUGCAUUCGUCAAAUAGUGCAGCCCUGAAGUCUAAUAGUGUGAGUGCAGAUGAUAAAAACUUAUCUUGGCCAAACCUCUUUUGUUCCAAAUUUCAGUGCUUCUAUCUUCCAUCUUCAAAUGAAAAACUUUGGGGGAAACUAUUUAAAGAUUCCUAAUGUUCCCAGGCCGUUUUUGAACACAAAUGGAAAACAACAACAGUCGUUCCCAUCUCAAUCCGCUAACAGUCAACAUCCAUGCUCCCCGAUCAGUUCUCGAUCAAGAGAUUUCCCUCGUGGAUACACAUCUUUCUACACGGAAGAGGUCUCUGGGUUUCGUUCCAAAGAAAAUGGAAAACGAAUCUAUUUCCCGAGAGUUAGCCGGAAGCUCGAAAGGGUUCCUUUUGUUCCUUCCACUUACCGAGGACUCAGCAUUGAACCCUGUCCCUUGCCAGCCACUAAAAGCGUCCAACAAAGUUCGUCCACAUGAAUAGUACACUCGAGGCCCUUUGUUUAUACCGUACAGUCGAGAUAAUCCCUACGUGGUCAAUGCUCUCAGGGCAGCUUUUGCGUUAUAGACACAAUUUGCAAUAAAGGACGAAUCAACAGCGCA